rnacentral:rRNA from 1 species
GAUGAACGCUGGCGGCGUGCCUAACACAUGCAAGUCGAACGGAGCUUAUUUUUUGGAGACUUCGGUCAAAGAAGCUUAAGCUUAGUGGCGGACGGGUGAGUAACGCGUGGAGAACUUGCCCUGUACUGGGGGAUAACAGUGAGAAAUCACUGCUAAUACCGCAUAAGCGCACGGAGCCGCAUGGCCCAGUGUGAAAAACUCCGGUGGUACAGGAUGGCUCCGCGUUGGAUUAGCCAGUUGGCGGGGUAACGGCCCACCAAGGCUAUGAUCGGUAGGGGUUCUGAGAGGAAGGUCCCCCACAUUGGAACUGAGACACGGUCCAAACUCC